rnacentral:lncRNA from 1 species
AUUUCUGCUUCCCUUCCUUUCACUGGCUCUCUGUUCCUCUCUCCCUGUAUUUCUCUCCUUGUCUCUCUGGGUCUCUGUCUCCCUGUCUCUGGGUCUCUGUCUUCCUCUCUCCCUGGGUGUCUCUUUCUCUCCCUCUUGCUGGGUCUCUCUUUCCCUCUCCCUCUGGAUCUUUCUCUCCAUCUCCCUCUCUCUGGGUCUCUGUCUCCCUGUCUCCCUGUCUCUAGGUAUCUGUCUUCCUCUCUCUCUGGGUUUUUUUCUCCUCUUGCUGGGCCUCCGUCUCUCCCUCUCCCUUUCUCUGGGUCUCUGUCUCCCUCUCUCCCUGGGUCUCUGUCUCCCUCUCUCUGGGUCUCUGUCCCCUCUCUCUGGGUCUCUGUCUGUCCCCCUGUCCCCCUCUCUCUGGGUGCCUGUCUCCUUCUCUCUGGGUCUCUGUCUCCUUCUCUCUGGGUCUCUGUCUACCUUUCUCUGCGUCCCUGUUCCCCUCUGGGUCUCUGUACCCUCUAAGUCUCUGUCCCUUUAUCUCUGAAUCUGUUUUUCUCUCUCUGGGUAUCUGUCCACUUCUCUCUGGGUCCUGUUUUUCUUUCUGUGGGUCCCGGUUCUUCUCUGGGUCUCUGUCCCCUCCAAGUCUCUGUCACUCCCUCUCCGAGUCUCUGUUUCCCUCUCUUGCUGGAUCUCAGACAAGGCUCUCAGGAUGGUCUUGGUCCAGUUGCCAGCCUGGGACUGGCUGGGAGAGAGGCUAGGGAUUGGGCAGUGGCUUCUCAGCCGGCCCUGACAUCCCCUGCUGUCCCCUGAAGUACAGCCUCUUCCCCACCCAUGCACUGAGACCCUGGGGCGGCAUCGCAUCAGCCGGGGUGGGAGCC